rnacentral:rRNA from 1 species
AACGAACGCUGGCGGCAUGCCUAACACAUGCAAGUCGAACGAGACCUUCGGGUCUAGUGGCGCACGGGUGCGUAACGCGUGGGAACCUGCCCUUAGGUUCGGAAUAACUCCCCGAAAGGGGUGCUAAUACCGGAUAAUGUCUUCGGACCAAAGAUUUAUCGCCUUUGGAUGGGCCCGCGUUGGAUUAGCUAGUUGGUAGGGUAAAAGCCUACCAAGGCGACGAUCCAUAGCUGGUCUGAGAGGAUGAUCAGCCACACUGGGACUGAGACACGGCCCAGACUCCGACGGGGGGCAGCAGUGGGGUAUAUUGGACGAUGGGCGAAAGCCUGAUCCAGCAAUGCCGCGUGAGUGAUGAAGGCCUUAGGGUUGCAAAUCUCUUUUACCCGGGAUGAUAAUGACAGUACCGGGAGAAUAAGCUCCGGCUAACUCCGUG